AUUUCAGCUGCAGAGGGGAAAAGCUGAGCACUCACCUGCAGUGCUGAGGAGUUCACUGCCACCCUACAGACAAACAUAUUUUUCUUCCUUAUCCAGUGUAGUUCAGAUGAGUACCACCAAGUAAAGGAAAAAAAAAAAACAAAAAAAAAAAAAACAGAAAAAAAACCCCACACAACAAAAACAGAAAUAACAUUUUUUUCUACCCUGACCACCAGUGCCUGUAAUAAAUGGCUCAGUCUUCAAAAUAGUACUAUAAACAAAGUUUACAAUUUAUUAAAGGAAUAGAGGUAAGCAAACAGCGCUGGGUGCACCGGGGGUCUCUGCUCCACCAAGAUGCACACCAGUUACAUCAAGUAGCUGAUUUUUAUGCUCCUAGGCCAAUACAUAUUCAUUACUACUUCUAAAAAAAACAGGGUUAUUAUAAUUAGUUUCCGGAAUCCAAACCCUCCUACUGGAGCAUGCGUAUCAGUCUCCGGUGGUCCCUCUGGGGGUCUCUGGGGGUCUCUCGUGCUGAAGGCUCAGAGUCUUCCUCCCUCUUGUCCUUCUCCUUUGUCCAACUUGGCUGUAUGUCAGAGACUUGUGUAACAUCCCCUGCAAACUGUGUCUUUUAGUUGUUUUCCAGCUCUCCCCGUCUCCUUAAUCUCCUGGCUGGAUAGCAGAGACUUGCAUAGUGUCCCAUGAAAAAGUCAUAAUAGCUAGCAGUUAUUCUGAACCCCCCCCAGAUAUCAGAGACUCCAAGGAAAAGUCUACAAAUGCAUUUCCCUUCAAGCUCUCUAUUGACACAAAUUGCUAAAACAUUCCUUUGCAAGAUACAAGAACUAUAUACAUUAACCACUGUUUUUCUUAGACUUGUGGUUAUACAAGGGUAUGUAAAACAGAAGGUCACAUUCAUCAUACCACGCGGCCCUAGCAUUGUUCCAUACUGACACGAAUCAGAUGAACAUAUCUCACAGUGCCCAAGCAGCAGAGGAUUCUGCAGUUCAACACUACCAGCUUUCUGAGUUUCUCUGUAUGAAUUGUGCUGCCUAUGAGACAAAGGCACAGGUGCUCUGCAGCUUUGGCCAAGGAAGGCAAUGUUGGGCAGUUGUCACCGUCACUACCCAGCUGCUGAAACCCAGCUGCAGCAGGCAGACAGAUAUCACACUCGUUACACUCUUCCAAGACAGAAAGGCUCAGUCAAUACUACAAAGGAUCUGAGCAGCAAUUUCCAAGCAGAAAGUCUCUGCUCCCCCGUGACACAAAGCACUAGGUCAUGCCUUUUGGUCCUAAAGCCAGCAGACCUGUAACAUGAAAUUGCUCGCUGUUUUCUGCCUCUGUAGGAGCUUUUCUUCUGCCAAGAGGGCUUAGCAAAACAUCCUGCUUUCAAAAUGAACUAAGUAGUAAAGAGAGGGCAUGAGAGGGGACAGCAGCAGGUUCUUGGAAGUCAGUAUGGUUUUGAAGGGCUUUCUGCAGGAGUUCAGGGGUUGAGUCAGGUUGAUGCAUCUGCCUCUUUGUACUCAGUUCUUCUCUCCUCUGAAGGCAGCUACAGGGAGCUAAGAGAGAGGUCCAGCUGCCUGGCUUUCUUCUGUAAAGCAGCUCAAGCUCAGCACAGGAACAGAAACAUGAAUGUCUUCUUUCUCUGGGAAACCUGCAGGGUUUCGGGAUCCAUCCUCAGUGCCUCAGUGCACCUGACAGGUGUGGGACAGCAGGAGCUGCCUUCCUCCCGAGAGAGUCUGGGGCCCUCCUAAGGCUCUUGUGACAGACAGAGCUCAUCUCCUGGAAAAAAAAAGUUGGAAGUAGUGGUAGCAUCCAUUUCCACAAGUUCAAAAUGCUGUUUCUCUUGUAAACAUCCUUGGGAGACUCAGCUCAGGCAGAGAAGCUGCAUGAACAGCUCAAGACACCAAAGGUCUUUCUGUCCCCAUAUGAGGGAACAAACCUCAUUACCACUCUGAUCACCCAAAGCCUUGCCUGUUGUUCUGUCAGGUGGAGGACCCACUCGUCUGACUCCUCAACACCACAAGACCCAGCCUGGGCACUGCGGCUGGCAUAAUGCCACUGCUGCACGCAGGACACUCAAGGCUGUGGACACAGGGAGCAGUGAGAGGUGGGUGCUGGCAGCCACUGCUGUGCAAUCAUGCUUCAGCAAUGCUGUAAUGUAAGUCUUGUCCCAAGGCAGAAAGUGAAAAAUAAACUCAAAGGCAAAUGGCA
rnacentral:lncRNA from 1 species